CUAGUUGGCCCAACAAUGCACUAGGGGUCAAACACACAUUACUUGCCGGUCGUAUGGAAAUUACAUAUGGGAGAUAAUGUUGUCUUUACUCUUUAGUUUGAUGUAAUACAAGGCUUUGCCUUCUUUUCUACCCCAACAAAAUGCAUGCGCAAUCAUCUCUCUUCUUUUUCUAAAACAAACUCUCUGAUUUGUCUCUAAAAGUAAUCAAGCUCUAAAUCUAGUUUGCUAGGUGGCUUGCCGUUACACUUUCCUCUCCUCUCUUCCUUUCCUUUUUCUUUGUCCCUUUGUUUCUAUCCUUUAUGAAAAGUUAAGCCUUGAACUGUGGUUCAGUUAUCUACUGGCCCAAGGAUGGAUCCAUUGAUGGGAUGCUACUAUCCAUUGAUGGUUAGUAGCUCUUUUCUCCUCUUUUGCAAUAGAGUUUUUAUUUAUUUAUUUAUCGAGGAGGAUGAGAUUGUUGUGAAACUACAUGACUAAUUAGUUUGGUCGAUGUUAUCUUUUUCUUUUCUCUCCUUUCUUUGUACUUUUUUUCAUCCUAUUUUCUUAAACUUUUCCCUGUUUUCUAUUUUCGGUGUAAUUUCUUGUAUUUGUUCUUUUUAUUUGUUUCUGUUUUAUUUUGUCACUAAAUUUGACUCUUUCGUUGCGACAAUAGGGAUAUAGUUGAUCCACGGAUUCAACGCUCUCACACGCGAGUUUUUUGCAUGUACCUGUCUGUAAGUCUUGUUUCCAAACAUUUGUUGUUGAUUUGGUUUGAGUUCUGAGUUGGGUUUUACGUGAUCUUGAGCUCUAUGUUUGGGGUUCUUUUGGUCCCCAUUUUUGAUCGCCUUCAGGCAAUGUACGUAAUAGCUAUAUACUAGUAGUAUUGGCC
rnacentral:lncRNA from 1 species